AUGCUCACUUCACAGCACAUACCGUAAAACUGAAUGAUACAGAGCAGAACCCUUGCACAAGGAUAAUACACAAAUUUUUGAAGCAGUCCAUAUUUUU
rnacentral:snRNA from 1 species